rnacentral:snoRNA from 1 species
CUUCUGCCGUGACGAUUUAUGAAAAAUUCACAUGUCAGACUUCAGAGAUUUAAAAAAAAAAAAUCCAUGAGAAGAAAUUUCAUGCUUUCUGAGCAGAAC